ACGAGCGCUGGCGGCGUGCUUAACACAUGCAAGUCGAGCGGAAAGGCCACUUCGGUGGUACUCGAGCGGCGAACGGGUGAGUAACACGUGAGUAAUCUGCCCCCCACUUUGGGAUAGCCACCGGAAACGGUGAUUAAUACCGGAUAUGACCUCGAUCCGCAUGGGUUGGGGUGGAAAGUUUUUCGGUGGGGGAUGUGCUCGCGGCCUAUCAGCUUGAUGGUGGGGUAAUGGCCUACCAUGGCUUCGACGGGUAGCCGGCCUGAGAGGGUGACCGGCCACACUGGGACUGAGACACGGCCCAGACUCCUACGGGAGGCAGCAGUGGGGAAUAUUGGACAAUGGGCGGAAGCCUGAUCCAGCAACGCCGCGUGAGGGAUGACGGCCUUCGGGUUGUAAACCUCUUUCAGUACCGACGAAGCGAAAGUGACGGUAGGUACAGAAGAAGCACCGGCCAACUACGU
rnacentral:rRNA from 1 species